rnacentral:rRNA from 1 species
GAUGAACGCUGGCGGCGUGCCUAAUACAUGCAAGUCGAGCGAACAGACGAGGAGCUUGCUCCUCUGACGUUAGCGGCGGACGGGUGAGUAACACGUGGAUAACCUACCUAUAAGACUGGGAUAACUUCGGGAAACCGGAGCUAAUACCGGAUAAUAUAUUGAACCGCAUGGUUCAAUAGUGAAAGACGGUUUUGCUGUCACUUAUAGAUGGAUCCGCGCCGCAUUAGCUAGUUGGUAAGGUAACGGCUUACCAAGGCAACGAUGCGUAGCCGACCUGAGAGGGUGAUCGGCCCCACUGGAACGGAGACACGGUCCAGACUCCUACGGGAGGCAGCAGUAGGGAAUCUUCCGCAAUGGGCGAAAGCCUGACGGAGCAACGCCGCGUGAGUGAUGAAGGUCUUCGGAUCGUAAAACUCUGUUAUUAGGGAAGAACAAAUGUGUAAGUAACUAUGCACGUCUUGACGGUACCUAAUCAGAAAGCCACGGCUAACUACGUG